GGACGCAUCACUGGUGUUCGGGUUGUCAUGCCAAUGGCACUGCCCGGUAGCUAAAUGCGGAAGAGAUAAGUGCUGAAAGCAUCUAAGCACGAAACUUGCCCCGAGAUGAGUUCUCCCUGAGACUUUAGGUCUCCUGAAGGAACGUUGAAGACGACGACGUUGAUAGGCCGGGUGUGUAAGCGCAGCGAUGCGUUGAGCUAACCGGUACUAAUGAACCGUGAGGCUUAACCUUACAACGCCGAAG
rnacentral:rRNA from 7 species